CCUACGGGAGGCAGCAGUAGGGAAUAUUGCUCAAUGGGGGAAACCCUGAAGCAGCAACGCCGCGUGGAGGAUGAAGGUUUUCGGAUUGUAAACUCCUUUUGUUAGAGAAGAUAAUGACGGUAUCUAACGAAUAAGCACCGGCUAACUCCGUGCCAGCAGCCGCGGUAAUACGGAGGGUGCAAGCGUUACUCGGAAUCACUGGGCGUAAAGGGCGCGUAGGCGGGAUAGCAAGUCAGAUGUGAAAUCCUAUGGCUUAACCAGAGAACUGCAUUUGAAACUGGUAUUCUAGAGUAUGGGAGAGGUAGGUGGAAUUCUUGGUGUAGGGGUGAAAUCCGUAGAGAUCAAGAGGAAUACUCAUUGCGAAGGCGACCUGCUAGAACAUAACUGACGCUGAUGCGCGAAAGCGUGGGGAGCAAACAGGAUUAGAUACCCUUGUAGUC
rnacentral:rRNA from 1 species